rnacentral:lncRNA from 1 species
ACGGAGGAUACAAUUAAGAAUUUUUUAUAUUGGGGUUAAUUUAUGGGUUGAAGAGGUUACAUCCCCAAAAUUUUGGGUUAGUUGUAGGUCGUGUUUUACGUGAGAGAGGCCCUUUAAUUAUAGCUUAAGAGAAUAUAAUGGGAUCAUUUAAGUAUCAUGGCAUCAAUUUGAAGAUCUUCUAUUGAACUUGAUCUUAAUUUUCACUUUUCAAAAUUGGUUUUCUUAUCAAUAGAUUGCAUUCUAAAAUGGAUGGAACAGCUUACAUUAGAGCAUAAAGCAUUGAAAGCCUACAGUUUAAAGAAAUCAUAGAUAUAAAUUUUGCAUUUUUUUGGGGCCAUUUGUUUUUUUGGUGUGAUUUUUCGCAGGGUUGUGGCUUUCUGAUAUUUGGUAGAGCUACACUCUGAAGCUUUGUUAAGUAAUGUUGUUUUCCGUCUCUUCGCUUCCACAUUUAUUUCGGCCUUUUACAAUGAGAUAAGCUCAUUGUUUUCUGUCUCCUGUGAUGGCUUCGAAAUUUAUUUCCGCCUUUUACAAUGAAAUUUGAAGCUAUGUAGAUUUGGCAGGUUUGUGAACAUCUGGAUGGUCAAAAAACAUGCACAUCAAUGCCCUAUCACUAAAUCUUUUUAACUUCUUUUACUUCAUUUUAUGUAGCAUCAUCAAUGCCCUAUCACUAAAUCGAGGAUCAUCAAGGAAGUUUUCCACUUAACAUGGAUUGGCUAAAGAGAUGUUUGAAUUGUGGUUUAAUUGUGGUUUUGUUCAAAUUUGAAUGGUAUUGAGAAAACCUUCUAUUUUUUUAUUUUUGUUUUUUAUUUUUUGACUUUAGGGAUAUUGUUUUUCAUAUUUAAGUACUGCUGGGUAGAUUUGCUUAUUGGGCUUUCAAAAUUCAGUACUUUCAAGAUGAACUAUGCGGCAAAACUAUAUAUAAAUGUCAAUAAAUUAGGAAGAUACAAUCAAAUGGUUCAAAAGUAUAAAUAAAUUAUGGAAAUGCAAUCAAAUGAUUCACAAGUAGAUAUAAAUAUUAUUUA